rnacentral:lncRNA from 10 species
GAUAUAGAAGACUUAGAUCACUAUGAGAUGAAAGAAGAGCCUAUGAGUGGGAAACAGGUGGAGGAUGAAGGAACUGAAAAAGAAAAUUGGGCAAUAUUAGAGAAAAUUAGGAAGACUGAAAGGUUGACCCUGAUAGUCCUUUGCACAGUGAUCUUCAGAUCUUAAAAGAAAAACAAGGGAUAGGAGACAUUUUUCUUAUCUUUUAAGGUAUGUAUUGGAUGGAGGAGCAUUAUGUAUGGAACCUCUCACAAAACAGCUCCUACUUUCAAGAAUGAAAAAGGUAUCCCAGCACUUUGGGAGGCCCGGGUCGGUGGAUCACAAGGGCUGAAGCAGUGCCUACUCCAUAGAAUCAGUCAUCAUGCAAAUAAAUGCCACCUGAGUCAAAGGCAAAGCCAACGUGCAGCUUGGAGCAAAGAAGAUGGAGUCUUGUUCUGUCACCCAGGCUGGAAUGCAGUGGCACAAUCUCAGCUCAUGCAACCUCCAACUCCCAGGUUCAGGUGA